GACGAACGCUGGCGGCGUGCUUAACACAUGCAAGUCGAACGGAAAGGCCCUGCUUUUGUGGGGUGCUCGAGUGGCGAACGGGUGUGUAUCAUGUGAGUAACCUGCUCUUUAUUUUGGGAUAACUUCAGGAAACUGGGGCUAAUACCGGAUAUGAGCUCCUGAUGCAUAUUGGGGGUUGGAAAGCUUCGGCGGUUGGGGAUGGACUCGCGGCUUAUCAGCUUGUUGGUGGGGUAGUGGCUUACCAAGGCGUUGACGGGUAGCCCGCCUGAGAGGGUGACCGGACACAGUGGGACUGAGAAAAGGCCACGACUCAUACGGGAGGAAUGAGGGGGAAAUAUUGCACAAGAGGCGGAAGCCUGUUGCGGCAACGCCCCGUGCGGGAGGACGGCCUUCGGGUUGUAAACCGCUUGCGCCUGUGACGAAGCGUGAGUGACGGUAAUGGGUAAAGAAGCACCGGCUAACUACGUG
rnacentral:rRNA from 1 species